UAUGUUUAUUCAGCUUUCAGAAAAUGAAUACUUUGUUUUUGUUAUACUAUAAAGCAGAGGAGGAGUGACUACUAUCCCACAGUGCAUUGCGAAAGCAAGUAUAUUGUCGAAUUUUUUGGCACGUUGAUCAUUGUGUUCAAGUCACUGAAGCGUUUAGACCAAGAGAUUUCUGUCAAAAUAUUCUUCAGAAUAGAAGACUGUUUCAAAUUUCUGCUCCUUUUUGCUCAAAAAGAAGAGUUUUUAAAGCAUAGAUGCCUCUUAUUGAGCAUCAACUUUCUUCGUAAGGCUUUUUGCCUGGGCUAUUGUUUCAGUCUAACUUGAACAUGGCGCUGCCCAAAGUAACACUAUAAUUAUAAAGUCACGCUAAACAAAGAUUUAUUUCAAGAGAGUUCUAGAACCAAGCAUCACAUAGAAUUAGAGAAUUAUGUUUUUUAUUUAGCAAAAUUAUAGGCCAUUCAAAUAAUAAACGUUCAGCUUUGCUGUGUUUCUAACAGCCUAACAUUUUCUGAUUGUAACUGGAUGUCCGCCACUAAUGGUCAAAGCCCGACUGAGGCAGUCAAUGAGAAAUUUGAUUCAAGUUGUGUUUGUUCGACUUGGGUCAUUCUGAAAAACAAAAUGAAAGUCUAUGUUAGAAACAGAGGCUUAAACAACCACAUGACCAGUGAUAUUGAUUCAUUACUUAAAAUUGGAAUAGUUUCGAUGGCGAGCGAUCUGUAGUCAUCAGCAUGAAGCAAAUGCUUCGUGACAACUAUCUUCAGCUGGUAAAUGUGAAAAUAGUCAAAUAUAAUGCAACAUUUCUUGUUGAAAACCUGGGUCAAACUAAGUUCACUUUAAAGCUACAAUGACAUAACACAUAACAUGAGAUUGACCCUCAAAUUAUUAAGUUAUACAUAGAGAAAGAUACACCAAACUAUCAAAAAUAAAAAAUCUCCCGAAUGACAAUAACAUUGAAGAAAAUGUAAUAUUAUACACUCGUCUAUUCAAGUCCAAAAUUACACCAAUGAUAAAUUAUUAUCUCCAGAACUUACUUAGUAAUGCAGCAAAGUAGAAACAUCCCUCGUUACUAGAAUAAAAGCUAUUUUCGUGUUGCCAUUCAGUGAAGGCAGCAACUAGCCGCCAUAUUGAUAAUAUCCAAUCGCAAAGCACUAUGGGAUAGUAGUCACUCCUCCUCUGACUAUAAAGUAAGUUAUUUAAGUUCAUGUGCGCAGUGGUCAUCAACGUAUCCUAAUACCUUAAGUGCUCUUGAAAUGCCCUUGAAAAUAGCAAAGCUGCUGGAUACUCCUUGAAUAGUCCUUGAAAUUGCUACAGUUCCUUGUUUAUUAUGAUUAUCUUAAACCUAAUUUUUGUUGACAAUUGAAGGGGUGAAAAUGAAAAUGGCUUUGAUGCCUCAAGUGAAUUGCAUUAACAGUCUGCUGUGUGUUCAAGCAGAAACUUUAAUUCCACUUUGUCACUGUGAGGCUAAUUUAAUUGCAGCUUUUUUUUUACAAGAGCAUGGUAUUUUUUGGCACAAAUAUAUAUUUUUGGCUUUGCGGGAAGCUACGCAUCCUUUAAAUGCGUGUGCUCAAGCAGAAAUUUUAGUAUAAUAUGGAAUAAAAACCAUUGCAGUAUUAUGAAACCAUUGUGUGCUCAAGCAGAAAAUAAUAUAAUAUGGGUACCGUUGAUUCCAUGGAUACCCCCCUCUUGAUCUGCCACUUCAUUGACAGUCUCAGUUUUCAUAAGUAUUUGGUUUCAAUCUUACAUUUUCAUCCUUCUGUUUUCUUUUUUUCUUCGUGCUGAUAACCUCUUGUCUGAUGAGUACUAAAUCUAUUCUAUCUUAUAAUGCGUCGAGCUGAAAUAAGUCGCUGGCGGACUUGUAACUCGUCCGAAAUAUGAGGAAAAAGCCUUGGAUGCCAGAAAAACUUUCCCGUUUUCCUUGAUCUUCCAUUCUCAAACUUAAAAUAUUGUUUUCUUAAAAAGGAGAAAAGCUUGAAAAACGAACAUUAAAUCCAUAUUUUCGUCUAAAUCUUUUUUGACAAAAACAGAAUGUCGAUAGGUCGUAAAAGCAAGUUUACCUGUAAUGUGAGGUUUGUUUUGGCGUGUGGGAUUGUAAAGGCGGAAACAAACCUUGACAGUGACCACCUAUCAUGAUUGUAAAGCACCUUUGAUUAUCCAUAUAUAACUGAACUGUGCAGUAUAAAUCAUAAAUCAUCUUAUUUAUUGCUGGAAAGAGUGAAGCAGGCGCUAAUGUCAAAAAAAAAUCGACAAAGUGUCCUAUCGAUUUUCGAAGAUCUUUUUCUUAAACUGUCUACGUGCACAAGAAGACGACAAACAAGCAGGCCAUCAGCUUUAAGCAGGUAAGUUCUAAUGGCCCACCUGUCAUUCAGUGAUUGGAUAAGAAAACAAUUUCAGUCCUUCAUGAGUAAAAUGCUUAAUCUGGCUAGCUCCAGACAAUUCUAAGAAACACAGCAAGUCUCAAUGUUUACUGAUUCUCUUCAUUUAACAUUUUCCUUUAAAAUCGACCAGGAAUUUCAAGCUUGGGCUGCCUGUGUUUUCACAAUACGCAAGACAACAUGCAGACUGAUUUCAUCGUAAGAUUUUGAUUGAUCACAAGAAAACAAAGUUAAAGAAAGAACACCCACUUAUUUAGCUACAGAUACCAAUGUGUUGCCACUGUUCCUCGUCUGGUAACGAAAGAAUGCAAUGAGGAAAAGAGACCUCAGGGUGCACAACGAUGCUACAAGGAAUAAUCCGGAGAAGAAAACCAAGACAUCACAAAAAAUGGCUCUUUUUAAGGCCACAUUAUGAAAUCAUUUUAUUCGCAAGCACAACAUCACGAAUGAUACACAAAACGAUUCAGAAAAUGAUGACUCUGGUGUGUUUGAGUGCUCUAGCAUUAGUGAAGCUGAUCUGACGAACGAGGAGGGACAAGAAAUUUAAGGUCGGGCAGACAAUGGACAAUUCGACGCACAGCGAGAAGCCGAAGAAAUGAAAAGGGCAAAUGCUCUUUCCCUGCUGGAACUUAAAGAAAAGGGUCAAGUGCCUCAGACAAUUAUAGAUAAGUUUGUCCAAUCUUCCACAGAAAUCGCAAGAAACAGCAUUGCAAUGUUGAAAUCUGGCUUGACUCUGCUGGAAUAGAUUUCGGUGCCGUUCCCGGACUUAAAGAACUGUUUGAUGAAUCAAAUUUGGCAAUGAAUCCAUUUCCUGAUAUCGAGAAGGAACCACUGCAGUAUAGAUAUUACAAGGAACAUUUAAAUCUUGUUGUAAGUUGUAUGGAAUGGAAUGCAGACCAUCUUGGGAAUAAAAGUACUGCUAUUGACAGAAUAUACGCCUAAUUGUUUUUAUGUAAGGGUGUAUUUGAACUAUUUCCCUUUUUUUUAGGAGCAAAAAAUAAUUCUUGGAAGAUAUCACACCAAAGUAAGACGAGGCCAUAGACUUAAAAACAUCCAAAAAACCGAUGAUGCCCUCUAUAUUCCAUUACUUGAGUGUCUGGAGCAACUUUUAAAUGAUGACUCUAUAGUGGAAGAGGGAAAGAAAUAAUGUUUUUAAAACUCACCCCUUGUUUGGAGCUGAUCCAUAUGCACUACAAAUUCUUCUUUAUUUUGAUGAGCUGGAAGUAUGCAAUCCCCUUGGUUCAAGAGCAACAACACAUAAAAUAGGUGCAUUCUAUUAUACAAUAUGAAAUAUAAAACCAGAAAACCGUUCACAUUUACAUACUAUUCAGCUUCUUGGACUGCUUCCCAAUAAAGACAUAAAAAAUUAUGGAAUAGAUCCUAUCUUGGAGGCCCUCAUGAGUGAUCUACAUCUUCUAGAAAGGGAUGAUGGCUAUGAAUUCACUAUUGUAGGAGAGCCAAGAUCAUUCCGGGGAACUAUUGCUCGGGGGACAAUCUUGGGUCCCAACUUUUAGGUGGCUUCAAGCAGGGCUCCAAGUCACAUAGAAAAUGCAGAGUUUGUAUGGGUGAUCCUGAAGCAAUCAAAACAUAUGUAUGCAAUAUCUAAAAUAGUUAAUUGAAAUAUAAUUCUCAUAAUUUUUCUUUUCAGAAUAUGUAAAGCAUUUAAUGUUUUUUAUUGCUUACUUACUUUUUUUCCAAUUCCAUGAGGGUAACUUUCUUCUAAGAACUACAGAAAGCCAUAGUCAACAGUUCCAAAGACUUGAAUUGGGUGAACAUUUCAAAAAGACCUAUGGCAUUAAUCAGAACUCAGUUUUAAACAACUCCUUUCUAUUUUACUCAAAAAAUAGAGUCAAAACUACUCUGGUUGUUUCCGUCAAACAUUAAUUGAAAACAGUUUGGUCUAUUUUCUUUAUCUAAAAAUUUAAAUUUACUCCAGCAUUUAUAAUGUACUCUUAUGUGCUAAUGUUGAACUGUUCAACAUUUCCAUAGAGUUACUUUUACUCGGAGGAAUACAAAUUACUCUCGGCAUGGUUAAAAUAACUCUCUUUUUAGAGUAAUUUUAACUCUCAAGUUACUCCACUAUGUAGAGUAACUUUAACUCUUUUGGUAGAGUUAUAUCAACUCCUGAAAAAUAACAGUGUAAAGUAGAGUCAACGUUGCCUAAAGUAUACGAGGAGUAAGCACUUUUUUACUUUUGAGUAGUCUUAUUCAUAGUAUUAUCAAUAUUUAUUUAAAACCAAACCCUAAAAAUACAACUAAUUCCUUUAAUGUUUGUUUACAUUGGAAGUAGUUCAUUGAAUGUAUGAGAAAUUGUUUAUCCUAUUUAUCAUUGACAUUGAAUCAGUAAACGAUUUAAAUCAGUAAAAAGCACUAAAAAGGUGAACAGCAAUUUAACAAUAAUAAAACAAUGGCCGAUUCAAUUGCUUUGCUUUCAGUAAAAAGCACUAAAAGGUGAACAGUAACUUGAUAAUAAUAAAACAUUGGUCGAUUCAA